rnacentral:rRNA from 1 species
AGCAGUCGCCGCGGGAAAACGUAGGGGGCAAGCGUUAUCCGGAAUUACUGGGUGUAAAGGGAGCGUAGACGGUUAAACAAGUCUGAAGUGAAAUGCCGGGGCUCAAUCCCGGAGCUGCUUUGGGAACUGUAGAACUGGAGUGUCGGAGGGGUAAGCGGAAUUCCCAGUGUAGCGGUGAAAUGCGUAGAUAUUGGGAGGAACACCGGCGGCGAAGGCGGCUUACUGGACGACAACUGACGUUGAGGCUCGAAGGCGUGGGUAGCAAACAGGAUUAGAUACCCCAGUAGUCCCUGUCUCUUAUAC